rnacentral:lncRNA from 1 species
CAGAAAUCACAACUGAAGGUAAUCAAUUCAUAUUACAAAUAUAUUCAUGGCUUUGAAUUAACCUCUAGCCAAAAAGAAAUUAGUUCCACAUGUUUAACAUAAUUGAACAGCAAGUUAAAUUAAACAUGAACAUAGAAUUAAAAGAAGAAAGAAUUCUAAACACUCUAAUAGUUGCAGAUUGCAUAAGCACGGCACUACUCCUCCUCUCCUUCA